rnacentral:rRNA from 1 species
GUGGGGAAUAUUGGACAAUGGGCGAAAGCCUGAUCCAGUCAUGCCGCGUGUGUGAAGAAGGUCUUCGGAUUGUAAAGCACUUUAAGUUGGGAGGAAGGGCAGUAAGUUAAUACCUUGCUGUUUUGACGUUACCGACAGAAUAAGCACCGGCUAACUUCGUGCCAGCAGCCGCGGUAAUACGAAGGGUGCAAGCGUUAAUCGGAAUUACUGGGCGUAAAGCGCGCGUAGGUGGUUUUGUAAGUUGGAGGUGAAAUCCCCGGGCUCAACCUGGGAACUGCCUCCAAAACUGCAUGACUAGAGUACGGUAGAGGGUAGUGGAAUUUCCUGUGUAGCGGUGAAAUGCGUAGAUAUAGGAAGGAACACCAGUGGCGAAGGCGACUACCUGGACUGAUACUGACACUGAGGUGCGAAAGCGUGGGGAGCAAACAGGAUUAGAAACCCUGGUAGUCC